rnacentral:misc_RNA from 1 species
AAGUCGUAACAAGGUCUCCGUUGGUGAACCAGCGGAGGGAUCAUUAUCAGAGUGUAACAACUCCCUAAACCCACUGUGAACCUAUACCACGUUUGUUGCUCCGGCGGAACCGCCCUGGGCGCGCCACCGCGCGUGCCCCAGACUCAGGCGCCCGCCGGGGACCAUCCAGAUUCUCUGUAUUUAUUCUCCAGACUUCUGAGUGUGAUUUAAAGCAAAUCAAAAUUAAAACUUUUAACAACGGAUCUCUUGGCUCUG